rnacentral:lncRNA from 1 species
AUAGGGCAGAACAAAUAAAUGUAUUUUGUAUCCUCCUUUUUUUCAAAUACAACUUAUUUUCCUUCUGUAGUAAUGGGGGAUUAGAAGAAGGACAACCUGUUGACCUAGUUCUUAGCUGUGUGGACAACUUUGAAGCUCGAAUGGCAAUAAAUACAGCUUGUAAUGAACUUGGUCAGACAUGGAUGGAAUCUGGGGUCAGUGAAAACGCAGUUUCCGGGCACAUCCAGCUUAUGGUCCCUGGAGAGUCGGCUUGCUUUGCGUGCGCACCACCACUUGUAGUUGCUUCAAACAUUGAUGAAAAAACCCUGAAACGAGAAGGCGUC